CUUCAAAAUCAUGUCGAGUGGUACCAGUGGUACGGUUGGUAAGAUAGGGUUACGGAUCGUGAAAGUAAGUUUACCAUCGGUGAACCAAGGGCCAUGGCAGUUGGGGUACCCUUUAAAAUCAUGUCGAGUGGUACCAGCGGUAAGAUAGGGUUACGGAUCGUGAAAGUAAGCUUACCAUCCGUAAACCAAGCGCCAUGGCAGUUGAGGUACUCUUGAAAAACAUGUCGAAUGGUACCAGUGGUACCACUGGUAAGAUAUGAUUACGGAUCGUGAAAGUAAGUAUACCAUCCGUGAACCAAGGGUCAUGGCAGUUGGG